rnacentral:rRNA from 1 species
UGGCCGCGGUAUUUUGACCGUGCGAAGGUAGCAUAAUCAUUAGUCCAUUAAAUGUGGUCUGGAAUGAAAGGUCUGACAGUGGAAGACUUUCUUAAUUUUAUUUUUGAAUUUUAAUUAUCAGUGAAAAUGCUGAUGUGAAUAUAGAUGGACGAGAAGACCCUAUAGAGCUUUAUACAUAUAUUAAUUUUGUUGGUAAGAUUGUUAAUUUUUGUAUUUUGUUGGGGCGACAACACAUAUUAAACAUUUGUUAUAUUUAUCUUUUUUUAAGGUUAGAUGAUCCAUUAUUAUUGAUUAUAGACUAAGUUACCUUAGGGAUAACAGCGUAAUUUUUUCUUAGAGUUCAUAUCGAUGAUAAAGAUUGCGACCUCGAUGUUGGAUUAGAAUUCCUUUUUGGCGCAGGAGUUUUUAAAGGCAGUCUGUUCGACUGUUAAAAUUCUACA